rnacentral:rRNA from 1 species
UNAUGGGCGCGAGCCUGAACCANCCNAGUAGCGUGAAGGAUGAAGGCUCUAUGGGUCGUAAACUUCUUUUAUAUGGGAAUAAAGUAUUCCACGUGUGGAAUUUUGUAUGUACCAUAUGAAUAAGGAUCGGCUAACUCCGUGCCAGCAGCCGCGGUAAUACNGAGGAUCCNAGCGUUAUCCGGAUUUAUUGGGUUUAAAGGGAGCGUAGGUGGAUUGUUAAGUCAGUUGUGAAAGUUUGCGGCUCAACCGUAAAAUUGCAGUUGAAACUGGCAGUCUUGAGUACAGUAGAGGUGGGCGGAAUUCGUGGUGUAGCGGUGAAAUGCUUAGAUAUCACGAAGAACUCCGAUUGCGAAGGCAGCUCACUAGACUGUUACUGACACUGAUGCUCGAAAGUGUGGGUAUCAAACAGGAUUAGAUAUCCUGGUAGUCCAAGGGCGAAUUC